GAUGAACGCUGGCGGCGUGCCUAAUACAUGCAAGUCGAGCGAACAGACGAGGAGCUUGCUCCUCUGACGUUAGCGGCGGACGGAUGAGUAAAACGUGGAUAACCUACCUAUAAGACUGGGAUAACUUCGGGAAACCGGAGCUAAUACCGGAUAAUAUAUUGAACCGCAUGGUUCAAUAGUGAAAGACGGUUUUGCUGUCACUUAUAGAUGGAUCCGCGCCGCAUUAGCUAGUUGGUAAGGUAACGGCUUACCAAGGCGACGAUGCGUAGCCGACCUGAGAGGGUGAACGGCCACACUGGAACUGAGACACGGUCCAGACUCCUACGGGAGGCAGCAGUAGGGAAUCUUCCGCAAUGGGCGAAAGCCUGACGGAGCAGCGCCGCGUGAGUGAUGAAGGUCUUCGGAUGGUAAAACUCUGUUAUUAGGGAAGAACAAAUGUGUAAGUAACGAUGCACGUCUUGACGGUACCUAAUCAGAAAGCCACGGCUAACUACGUG
rnacentral:rRNA from 1 species